CAGUAGGUGCACCUACCUUCGGAUUUAAGUUGUUCUCAUCUCAUAAUUACAUCCCAGAGGAAAUGCUAACCAUACUAGAAACAAACACAAGAGAACAGUCACUCUUCCAGGUCUGCCAUGCGCUCUGACAGAAAGAGGCCUCUGUGGGUGCUCAGUCACCCCAGAGCCCAAACUGUCCCUCUGAUCUGAUCACAGCUUCCAGCCCUCCUGCUUGAAGACACCUGACCAUAUUUCUGGCACACGUAACAAGCACAGGGGGAGACCGGUGCUUUACGCUGAGACUAGGUAGUUAUGGUACACAGAUAGAUGAGCUGUUCAAAUGCUCCCAGAGGUUUCCUGCAGAUGUUUUGCUAAUGUCUGACCUGCUGCCUGGGUUCAGACGGGAGGAAAUGAUUGCAAACGCAGGUGGUGGUUGCUGAAUCAGCCUUCCUUGGAUUUAGAUCAUGAGAGGAAAUGUUCAGCUCUUCCAGCAGAUCUAUGCCCAGGUAUCCUUCUGAAGUAGAGAAGCAUUAAUUGCUCAACUAGGGAGGUGUUAAUUGGUAUGUUGUUACAGCUGCAGCUGACUAUUUCAGCCUGUAGUCAAACUGUCCCAUGGUGCCUUCUGUCCCUAAGAUGGCUUUUAGGGUCUAUGCAGGUUGUUACAAUACAGAAACCUUUUCCAUGGCAAAAAAAAUCCAUCACAACUACCAGCAGGACAGAAAGUAAGUGAAUGCACAUUCAGGUUGGCUGAUUUGGUUUGGCAUGAGGCAGUUAGCCAGCCAGAAGAAAACAUAGAUGAACACAGUAAUUGUUCCAUGCAAGCAGCAGAGAACAGAUGUCAGCCAACUGUCCCAGCUGAGGAACCCAACAGUGCUAUUUCCAGACCCAGAAGGAAAUGAGAAACUUUACUUUGGAAUUAUAAAUUCAAGGGACUUGAUAUAGAGAGAAUGAUUACAUGCUAUGAUGUUGAACAAAAAUAUUAGAAAGCUGUUAAAACCCAUGCCAGAGCAUUAGAAGCAGCAUUUGAAGU